rnacentral:rRNA from 1 species
UUAGGUUAAGUUAGAAAGGGCGCACGGUGGAUGCCUUGGCACUAGGAGCCGAUGAAGGA